UUGCGCCGAGUUCACAUUGGACAUGGUUGAUGCAAUUAUGGAAUAACAUGCUCAAGUCAGCAGCAGAUCCACAAAGCAGGAAUUCGAGUUAGACGAUAGGAUUCAGUCUGGUUCUCUUGCCAGGAUAGGCCUUGGGACGGAGCUAGCAUGGAAAGUACGGGCCAGAAUUCAGUUACUUCGGAGCAAAUCCUGUAUAUAUUUGUUCAUUGAAUAUCUAUAUCUUUAACUUUUGGAUUCACCUCUAAUCGUAAGUGAAUGUAUGAUCCAGAAGAAACAUGUCAAGUUCUUCAAUGUGCAGAGAGAUUGUUGUUUGUCAAAUUACACCUCUUAUUCAACUGGUGUAUCUUGUUCAAGAGUUCUUGAUAAGUAACUUUCUAUAAUCUAUUGUUGUUGUAUUCAAAUGUACCUUGUCAUAUAAAUUCAUCCUCAAGUUUUUUUUUUU